UUCACACUGUCGAGAAAAGUCUCUAUCGAGGUUAAAGGUGCCUGUACCGCAAACCGACACAGGUGGGUGAGGAGAGUAUCCUAAGGCCAGCGAGAGAACUGUUGUUAAGGAACUCGGCAAAAUGACCCCGUAACUUCGGGAGAAGGGGUGCCUUCGAAAGAAGGCCGCAGAGAAUAGGCCCAAGCGACUGUUUACCAAAAACAUAGGUUUCUGCUAAGUCGCAAGACGAUGUAUAGGAGCUGACGCCUGCCCGGUGCUGGAAGGUUAAGGGGAUCUGUUAGAGCAAUCGAAGCAGUGAACUUAAGCCCCAGUAAACGGCAGCCGUAACAAUAACGGUCCUAAGGUAGCGAAAUUCCUUGUCGGGUAAGUUCCGGCCCGCACGAAAGGCGUAACGAUUUGGGCACUGUCUCAACAACAGACUCGGUGAAAUUGUAAUACCGGUGAAGAUGCCGGUUACCUGCGACAGGACGGAAAGACCCCAUGGAGCUUUACUGUAGCUUGACAUUGAGUCUCGGUGCUACAUGUACAGGAUAGGUGGGAGACUAUGAAGCAUGGACGUCAGUCUGUGUGGAGUCAUCCUUGGGAUACCACCCUUGUAGUACUGGGAUUCUAACCAGAGGCCAUGAAUCUGGUCUUGGGACACUGUCAGGUGGACAGUUUGACUGGGGCGGUCGCCUCCCAAAAAGUAACGGAGGCGCUCAAAGGUUCUCUCAGUACGGUCGGAAAUCGUACGAAGAGUGUAAAGGCAAAAGAGAGCUUGAUUGCAAGACAUACAGGUCGAGCAAGGACGAAAGUCGGACUUAGUGAUCCGGUGGUUCCGCAUGGAAGGGCCAUCGCUCAACGGAUAAAAGCUACCCUGGGGAUAACAGGCUGAUCUCCCCCAAGAGUCCACAUCGACGGGGAGGUUUGGCACCUCGAUGUCGGCUCAUCACAUCCUGGGGCUGUAGCAGGUCCCAAGGGUUGGGCUGUUCGCCCAUUAAAGUGGUACGCGAGCUGGGUUCAGAACGUCGUGAGACAGUUCGGUCCCUAUCCGUCGCAGGCGUAGGAAAUUUGAGGAGACCUGUCCUUAGUACGAGAGGACCGGGAUGGACGUACCGCUGGUGUACCAGUUGUUCUGCCAAGGGCAUGGCUGGGUAGCUAAGUACGGAAAGGAUAAGCGCUGAAAGCAUCUAAGCGCGAAGCCCACUUCAAGAUAAGAUUUCCCACCGCAAGGUUAAGAUCCCAGGAAGACUACCUGGUUGAUAGGUCAGAGGUGUAAGUGCAGUAAUGUAUUUAGCUUACUGAUACUAAUAGAUCGAGGACUUGAUC
rnacentral:rRNA from 1 species